rnacentral:rRNA from 1 species
AGCGGCGGACGGGUGAGUAACACGUGGGUAACCUGCCUGUAAGACUGGGAUAACUCCGGGAAACCGGAGCUAAUACCGGAUAGUUCCUUGAACCGCAUGGUUCAAGGAUGAAAGACGGUUUCGGCUGUCACUUACAGAUGGACCCGCGGCGCAUUAGCUAGUUGGUGGGGUAAUGGCUCACCAAGGCGACGAUGCGUAGCCGACCUGAGAGGGUGAUCGGCCACACUGGGACUGAGACACGGCCCAGACUCCUACGGGAGGCAGCAGUAGGGAAUCUUCCGCAAUGGACGAAAGUCUGACGGAGCAACGCCGCGUGAGUGAUGAAGGUUUUCGGAUCGUAAAGCUCUGUUGUUAGGGAAGAACAAGUGCGAGAGUAACUGCUCGCACCUUGACGGUACCUAACCAGAAAGCCACGGCUAACUACGUGCCAGCAGCCGCGGUAAUACGUAGGUGGCAAGCGUUGUCCGGAAUUAUUGGGCGUAAAGGGCUCGCAGGCGGUUUCUUAAGUCUGAUGUGAAAGCCCCCGGCUCAACCGGGGAGGGUCAUUGGAAACUGGGAAACUUGAGUGCAGAAGAGGAGAGUGGAAUUCCACGUGUAGCGGUGAAAUGCGUAGAGAUGUGGAGGAACACCAGUGGCGAAGGCGACUCUCUGGUCUGUAACUGACGCUGAGGAGCGAAAGCGUGGGGAGCGAACAGGAU